GUGGGGAAUAUUGGACAAUGGGCGAAAGCCUGAUCCAGCAAUGCCGCGUGAGUGAAGAAGGCCUUAGGGUUGUAAAGCUCUUUUACCCGGGAAGAUAAUGACUGUACCGGGAGAAUAAGCCCCGGCUAACUCCGUGCCAGCAGCCGCGGCAAUACGGAGGGGGCUAGCGUUGUUCGGAAUUACUGGGCGUAAAGCGCACGUAGGCGGCUUUGUAAGUUAGAGGUGAAAGCCCAGGGCUCAACCCUGGAACUGCCUUUAAGACUGCAUCGCUUGAGCGCGGGAGAGGUGAGUGGAAUUCCGAGUGUAGAGGUGAAAUUCGUAGAUAUUCGGAAGAACACCAGUGGCGAAGGCGACUCACUGGACCGUUGUUGACGCUGAGGUGCGAAAGCGUGGGGAGCAAACAGGAUUAGAUACCCGAGUAGUCC
rnacentral:rRNA from 1 species